CAAAAGGCUCUUUUCAGAGCCACCUACUAGCUCAGAAAAGGCUGU
rfam:Callithrix jacchus chromosome 4, whole genome shotgun sequence